rnacentral:rRNA from 1 species
AUUGAACGCUGGCGGCAUGCUUAACACAUGCGAGUCGAACGGUAACAGGUGUAGCAAUACAUGCUGACGAGUGGCGGACGGGUGAGGAAUGCUUGGGAAUCUGCCUGUUAGUGGGGGACAACCCGGGGAAACUCGGGCUAAUACCGCAUACGCUCUACGGAGGAAAGCGGGGGACCGUAAGGCCUCGCGCUAACAGAUGAGCCCAAGUCGGAUUAGCUAGUUGGUGGGGUAAAAGCCUACCAAGGCGACGAUCCGUAGCUGGUCUGAGAGGACGAUCAGCCACACUGGGACUGAGACACGGCCCAGACUCCUACGGGAGGCAGCAGUGGGGAAUAUUGGACAAUGGGGGCAACCCUGAUCCAGCAAUGCCGCGUGUGUGAAGAAGGCCUGCGGGUUGUAAAGCACUUUUGGCAGGGAUGAAAAGCACUGGAUUAAUAACCCAGUGUGUUGACCUAACCUGCAGAAGAAGCACCGGCUAACUCUGUG